rnacentral:rRNA from 1 species
AUACGGAGGGUGCAAGCGUUAAUCGGAAUUACUGGGCGUAAAGCGUACGUAGGCGGUCCGUUAAGUUAGAUGUGAAAGCCCCGGGCUUAACCUGGGAACUGCAUUUAAAACUGGCGGACUAGAGUUGAGUAGAGGGGAGUGGAAUUUCAGGUGUAGCGGUGAAAUGCGUAGAGAUCUGAAGGAACACCAGUGGCGAAGGCGACUCCCUGGACUCGAACUGGCGCUGAGGUACGAAAGCGUGGGUAGCAAACGGGAUUAGAAACCCCGGUAGUCC